rnacentral:rRNA from 1 species
ACUCAAAUGAAUAGACGGGGGCCCGCACAAGCAGCGGAGCAUGUGGUUUAAUUCGAAGCAACGCGAAGAACCUUACCAGGGCUUGACAUCCCUUGACAGACUAAGAAAUUAGUUUUCCCUUCGGGGCAAGGAGACAGGUGGUGCAUGGUUGUCGUCAGCUCGUGUCGUGAGAUGUUGGGUUAAGUCCCGCAACGAGCGCAACCCUUACCCUCAGUUGCCAGCAUGUAAAGAUGGGGACUCUGAGGGGACCGCCGGGGACAACUCGGAGGAAGGUGGGGACGACGUCAAAUCAUCAUGCCCCUUAUGUCCUGGGCUACACACGUGCUACAAUGGCCGCAACAAAGGGAAGCGACAACGCAAGUUGAAGCCGAUCUCAAAAAAGCGGUCCCAGUUCGGAUCGUGGGCUGCAACCCGCCCACGUGAAGUCGGAGUUGCUAGUAAUCGCGAAUCAGCAUGUCGCGGUGAAUACGUUCCCGGGCCUUGUACACACCGCCCGU